rfam:Lactobacillus cacaonum DSM 21116 NODE_37, whole genome shotgun sequence.
GGAGGAUUACCCAAGUCUGGCUGAAGGGAACGGUCUUGAAAACCGUCAGGUGGGUAAAACCACGCAAGAGUUCGAAUCUCUUAUCCUCCU